GCUGGGCAUGGUGGCGCACGCCUGUAAUUCCAGCGGCUGGGGAGGCUGAGACAGGAGGAUCAUGAGUUAAAAGUCAGCCUCAGCAACAGUGAGUGCUAAGCAACUGAGGGAGACCCUAUCUCUA
rnacentral:sRNA from 1 species